rnacentral:lncRNA from 1 species
CAAAAGAGUGGUACAUGCAAAAUGUCUUCUAAAUAUUUUGCUUUAUUAACGGUUUUCCUAGCUGUAUGUGUUUUGGUGUCAGCAGAUGAUGAAGCGUGGGGUGUUAUACCCGACUUCAUGAGUCACUUUCACGGCGGUAGCAAGAGCAAAAGCCACAGUAAGUCUGACAGCUCCAGCAGCAGCGCCAGCGGCAGUCACAGCAACAGUGAUGGCAGUCAUCAUAAGUUCAUGAUCAAGAUCAACAGAACAUCUUCUAGCAGCACCAAAAGUAGUAGCAGCCAUUUUCAUUACAAAAGCCUCAGCGGUAAAUAGAGAAAACAUUUUUCAAAUAAUACCACCAGAGGCAAGAACAGACUUCAUCACAAAGUAGACUUCCUCUUAAGGACAUGAAAUUACAUUAAAUGUUAAUAUAAACUAGAUGUAUUCCUCAGAGUGUUAGUUGAAAUAAAGUGUUUCAAAAGCCGAUUAUAAUACAGAUAUAUCCGUUUCCCUAAAAUAAAUGCAACUAUUCGUGUGAGUUGACUUUUUAAAAACGUAUUUGUAUCAAAAUCAAUUUUAAAAGCAUAUUAAAAUUGACUUUCGUGCAAAGUUAUUUAUAUGAUUUAUGUGAUUGUUUUAAUCAUCCUUGCGGAGUUCAAAAUAAUGAAUUUGAAGACUUCAUAAUACGAGCAAUCUAAGCAAUCUGGAUGGACUUAAAAAUAAAUAUGUUUAACAAC